rnacentral:rRNA from 1 species
UUCUCCUACGGGGGGCAGCAGUGGGGGAUAUUGCACAAUGGGGGGAACCCUGAUGCAGCGACGCCGCGUGGGUGAAGAAGCGCCUCGGCGCGUAAAGCCCUGUCAGCAGGGAAGAAAAUGACGGUACCUGAAGAAGAAGCCCCGGCUAACUACGUGCCAGCAGCCGCGGUAAUACGUAGGGGGCAAGCGUUAUCCGGAUUUACUGGGUGUAAAGGGAGCGUAGACGGCAGUGCAAGUCCGGAGUGAAAGCCCGGGGCUCAACCCUGGUACUGCUCUGGAAACUGUAAAGCUGGAGUGCGGGAGGG